rnacentral:rRNA from 1 species
GACGUAGGGCGCGAGCGUUGUCCGGAAUUAUUGGGCGUAAAGAGCGUGUAGGCGGUCCGGUAAGUCAGCUGUGAAAGUCAAGGGCUCAACCCUUGAAUGCCGGUUGAUACUGUCGGGCUAGAGUCCGGAAGAGGCGAGUGGAAUUCCUGGUGUAGCGGUGAAAUGCGCAGAUAUCAGGAAGAACACCAAUGGCGAAAGCAGCUCUCUGGGACGGUACUGACGCUGAGACGCGAAAGCGUGGGGAGCGAACAGG